UGGGGGAACCAAGAAUUUGGAUUGCAAAAUUGAGGAAAGCACUGAAACACCUGCUCUAGAGGACUCCUCAUCAUCCCCCAUAGAUACUCAGCAACAUUCCUGGCAGGUUUCCACAGACAUUGAGAACACUGAAAGAGAUAUGAGAGAAAUGAAAAACCUUUUAAGCAAACUCAGGGAAACUAUGCCUUUACCAUUGAAAAAUCAAGAUGACAGCAGCCUUCUAAAUCUAACCCCCUACCCCCUGGUUAGAAGACGGAAGAGAAGGUUCUUUGGGCUGUGCUGUCUCGUCUCAAGCUAGACAAUUGCUCUUGGAAACCCACACUGGGAAGACCUGAAAAUAUCACAGAACCUGAGGACCUCCAGACAGCUGAACCACAGUUAUUCGUUUUUGACCAUGUUUUCUAUGCUUCCUUAUUACUUUUAUCCACCUCCUGCUGCCCUUUUAAACGAUUUUACAUUUGAAAGCAGCUGCUGUCAAGGAAAAAAAAAAAAAAAACAGAUUCAAAAAGCAGGCUGUUUUUAAAAGGAUUUUUAAAGCUGACAUUGUGCAUGUCUAUGCCAAACCACACCAUGACAGAUGCAAGAAUUAUGAUUUUUAAAUUAUUUAAAGGUUUUUUUAAGUGUAUUAUACAGAGAAAAAUUAUUUCAUGUAUAAUAGUCUAUCUAUAGCUCUUGCUGAUCUCAUGUUAACAGUUUAUCAUAUAUGAGAGUCUUUAAACAUAGAAUCUAUUUAAAACUGCAAAACUAUUGAAAAUCCAAUCAAUAUUAGAAAUAAUAUUAUAAUCAAACGUAUAUCACCUCACCUAUUGCUUUCUCUGUACUCAUUUACAUUUAGUCUUCCAUUCUGUCAGAAUCUAAGAGCUGCAACAUAAAAUAUCUUAAUUUAUAAUGCAACAAAAAACAUAUAUGAAAAGUAUUUAAGUUUUGUAAAUACACAGUAAUCUUAAAACCUUCAUACAAUGCAUAUGGGCAUCUAAUUUCCUUUUGAUCCAAUGGUGUCUUUUUCACUUCUUGGAGAAUGAAGUAAUCCAGUUAGGAAAUGGUAUAGUAACCAUAUGCAAUUACCCUCAAAUGUAAAAUUGAAUAUUAUCAUAUUUUGUUCUAAUUGAAAUCUGAAGCAUGAUGUCUGCACAUCAGCAUAGUGUUAAAUCUUAUAGGGCAUGCUGGAAUUAGCUCAGAUCGUAAAAAUACUUAACAUUUUACAUUGUUAAUAAAAAUCCUUUUAGUUAAGCUAAGCUUGUCUCAUUUUAGAUGACUAUGCAGAUAGGACUUUUCCAGUGUGUACUUGGUGUCUUGUCUUAUGCUUAGAAUCUUAAAAGCAGGACACAUUAAGCAAUACUCUCUUUUAGAAAGGAGGAAGCCACAAGCUUUGUUUUUCUGCUCACAGCUUUGUUGUGAUCUUCCUCCACUAAACUGGUAACAUGGUACAGAUCUUGUUAUAUCUUCCCUUGUUCUUCCUUUGGCCCAUUUCCCAGACAGAAUUUCCCAUGGGUUGAAAGAUCAGGCCUUUGGACUUGUUUUCUUGUUUUCCAUAGUCUGAAAAUUCCUAAAGUCAGACCACAGGCACCAGUGUCCUGCACAAGAAAAGGGUGAGUUAUACGUGGUUUAUCCAAGACGCAUCUUUAAUCCCAACCCUGUAAUUUCUCAGUACUUAUGAGCACAGGCAUUUGUAUGUCCACCAAUAUCUUGACCUAAAAACUAAAUAUAUUCAAGCUUUCAGCUUUAGGGAAGAGGAAUAAAGAUACAGACAAACUAUUGGAAUAAUUAUUGUAUUAGGCUGAAUUACAUAAAAUUGCUGAUAUUUGACUGUUUAAACCUUAAAGAUGGCAAUUUCAUAUAGUUCAACCUAAUAUCUGAUGUUGUAGAAGUUAUCCUUGGAAUUGUUUUUCUACUUAUACUUUUUUUUAUUGAAAAUGAAGGAUUAAAGACUUGGAAGACAACUCAAAAGGCUAUGCAGGUCUCUAUUUGGAUCAUACCAGCUGGUUGUUGGCCUUAUUCUUGGAGUCCAGAGGUGUGUUCCAAUUAAUUAUUGAUGCCUGGGUAAAUGUAUGACUACCUUCGUAUUAAGAUAUAUCCUUAUCCUUGAAAGUUAUCUAAGAAAAAUCACAAUUUUUUAAAUCAUAUACUUAUAAAAAGAGUUGUGGGAAGAUUCUAAUUAAAGACUCCUAGGGUGACUGCUUCCUUGCAAAGCAGGUAACCACUCCCAAAUUUACAUGGUCUGCAAACCCUGAUUUUCAUAAGUAAAAACGCUGAGUGCAGUUCAUUUUCAUCCCCUGAAGUUUAAUCCACUUCAAGUCCAUUGUUUUAGAAAUUAUGAAGUAGCUCAAUUUGGCAUGCUCUCAGCUCCCAUCUAUGCCCUCUCCCACCCUUCCACUAUAUUGAACCCUUAGCAUCAAUCUAGUUCCUAUUAAUCCAUGCAAUGUUAUUAACAGAUAAACUCAGCCUUGGUGUCCAGCAUAUUCUGCUAAAUGCCUGACCCAAAUCCCUUCUGCUUGGUUAAUUUGUGCUCACUCUUGCCUUAGUCUCAGUGUGAAAGUAACACCUUCCGUGCAAUUGUCUUUGUACAACUGAAGACUGUUAAUAAAUUCAGGUCUCACCUCCAUGUCUGGGGAGGGCUAUAGUAGCUAUUCAUGGAGAUGGGGAUUUGUCCAAUUCCCUAGCUAGGCUUUCCAUAUCUAAGGUAAAUAAAUUCUGCCACCUUAUCUUUUAUUCAUAGUGCCUGUUUCCCAGCCUUUGAUCAAUUUUGUAGUUCCCGUGGACACACUCCAAGAUUUACAGAUCUUCUCUUACUCUGGCUGGUCCUAAAAUCAAAUUUAGUGUUCAAAGUGCUAGUAACCUACCCUGGCUCAGAGUUGCAAUAGGUAAUUCACCAUCUCCUAUUAAAUACACUAAUGAACCUUGUUAGGAGCUAACCCCAUUCCCCUCUCGCCUACCAAAGGACUUUCUCAGGUGUAGUUCCGUGAGAUAGAGUUGGACUAUCUCAGCUUCCUGCUGAUAAUUUGCUUUCAGAUUAGCAAUAACAUUACGCUGAUCUCUAGGGAUAAGGAGAGCCCAAUGAACUCAUUUUGUUGCAUGUACUCAUAUGCUUGAAACAAACAAAAAAAGGAUGUCAAGUUUUUCUAGCACAUAAUCACCCAUUUUAGCACCAUAUUUUUAAAAUCCAGUGGUUGAUCUUUUUUGGUUUUUUUGUUUUUUUUUUUUUUUUAAUUAUAGAGACAAUACAUGUUCUUUGUGGAAAAUUUGAAAAAUGCCACCAAGUGUAAAGAAAAUAAAAAUCACCUGAAUGCCACCAUAAUCACAUUAUUUAAAACCACAUGUCCAGGUUUUAAAUCAGUCAUUGGCUGGGCUUAAAGGCAAUGUUGGAUAAAGUAUGUGAAGAAAUGCCCACAAGGCCAAAGGGCCACUUUAAAAGAUCUGUCCCGUAACAGACAUGCAUGCAUCUAGGAAGAGAUUCAUUGCAUAGUUCGGAUUUUGCCAUUGUUCAAGGGUACAAAGAAGAUUUUAUAAGUGCCAUAGCCCUGAUGUUUCUUCUAAUGAAAGUUCUUGGGAAAUUCUAAAAUCCUGCCAGAUCCUUUUGUUCCUCGGUGCUCCUAUCAGUUUGGAUACUUACUCUUUGGCAAUACUGCCACCUACCGAAAGCUAAGCUUUAGCGUUAGAGGGGAAAACAAAUACACAGAGCCUAAAGCAUCUGAUUGACUUUAGAUAGCUCACAAAUUAGGCCAGUUAACAGUGAUGUCAUAUGGAAUUUCAGAUUCUGGAAGUCCCCAGAUUGAAAGGAUUAUGGAUAUCCAUCUAGACCAAUUUCUCACUAUCCCCCAACAUACAUGCCUUAGCAAUGUCUACCAUUCCUUUGCAUUCUAGAACAUUAUCAAAUGCAACAUGUUCAGCUUUCAAGUAACUAUAGAUAGGAUGAGAAAUGGUCCAGAAUAAACCAUUAAAAUUAAAUAUAAGGUUCCAAAAUAAACCCAAGAAGAAUUGAAUACAUUAAAAAGAUGGCAUUUCAAAUGUGUGAGAAAAGGUUGGAUUAUUAAGUUAUAGUUGGAUAAAUGGUUAGCCAUCCGUUGGGGGAAAUAUUAGCUCUAUACCUCAUAACUGUCAUAAAAAAUAAACUCUAGGUGAAGUGAGUAUUUAAAUGUUAAAGCACAUAAAUAAACUGUUAGUACUGAUGAAUAUUUAUGUAAUUUUAGUGGGGUGGAGGGAAGUACAGCUAAACAUGACAGUAAAGGAAGAAACCCCAAAGGAAAAGAUGGGUGGAUUUGACCAAUUAAAAAUGCAAAACUCCCGCACAGUAAAAAGUAAUAAAAAAGAUUAAGAGAAAGCAAAAUUUUAAAUAUAUGCAACAAAGAGUACAGAUCUCUACUAUAUAUCAAGAGCUUAAAUUCCACCACCUUUGUGAAGUUUCCAUGAUCUAUAACCCCCUUCCCAGCCAGGUGUUCCCAUUUCAUUCUUUCCUUUUCCUUUUUACACUUUUUUCAUUAUUGCUUGUUUAAUUGUCUCUCUUCACUAAACUGGAAGUUCUAGAAGGAAGCCACUAUGUCAAUUUUGCUUACUGUUAUAUCCUCAGCAUAGUGCUCAACACAAAAGCAAAUACUCCAGACACACUUAUUGAAUGAAUGAAUAAUGAUUGCAUGAACAAAUGAUAUUUUACAACUCAAAAAGAAUCAAACUUUCCAGUAGAAAAUUGAGCCAAGCACACAUAAACUGGCAAUGUACCAUAAAUUUAAAUAGUGUGCUAAUAAUAAAUACAAAAAUAUCUGAAUAUACUAGUAAUCAAAAAUGCAAGUUAUUAUGAUGGACUCUUUUUCCAUGUAUCAGAAAGUCAAGGGUAUAAAUAAUUAAUGUUUCCAGAAACAGCAAGGAAGUAUGGAAGUGAACAUCUUCUCAAAGAGCCAACAAGUAUGUAAAUUGACUCCACCUUUAUGGAAAAUAUUUUGACAGUAUAUUUUUCGCCUAUACCAAGUAAUUCCACUAUAGGGAAAUUCUCCUCUAAAAAAGGUCAGAAAGGUCAGAAAAGGCCUAAAAGGUCAGAAAAAAAUGAAGUAAGAUACACUCAUUCAUUAUUCAAAAAAUUAUGCAAGGAAGGAUGCUUAUUUGUAAGAAUGGGAAAAAAUGUAAAUAAGCCCACAGUAUAAGGCUAGUUAAGUGUGGCAUAUCCUUUCAAUGGAAUAACAUUCACCAAUUAAGACUAAACACCCUAUAUAUAUUUAUUGAAAUGAACUAUGUUGUUAAAUGAAAACAGUUAUAGAAGAAUAUGUAUUGUAUCAUCUCACUUUGAAAAUAUACGUAUACAUGUACGCAUUAAAGGGUCUGAAAAGAUAUUUGCUAAAAUGUUAACAGCAUUUUUCUAUAGGAGGUGAGAUUUGGAGCAAUUAUAUUAUUUUGCAUAUCUGUACUUUCUGAUUUUUCCACAAUGAGCAUGUAGUAUCUGUAUAAUUUUUUCAGGGAAUAAAUAAUAAUGUUCACAAUAUAUAUUCAAUGAAAACACAUUAUAAAACAGUAUGUAUAGUAUGACACAAUAUUUGUAAAAAAAGAAAAAUAUAUAUGAAUCUAUCUAUGUAUGUAUAUAUAUGCAUAAGAAAGCUAGAAGGACAUACACUAAAAUGUUAAUAGUAGUUAUUUAUGGGUAGUGGGAUUAUGGGUGAUUAUUUUUUCUUUUUGCUUUUCUGUGUUUUCUAAUUUUUCUACAAUGAAUAUGUAUUACUUGUGUAAUAAAAACUAAUAAUAAAAGUUUUAAAAAAAA
rnacentral:lncRNA from 1 species